rnacentral:misc_RNA from 1 species
GUUCUGCAAUCUUAAUAGUUUCCGUAACAAGUUUAUAUUAGGUUUUUCAAUCUUUUUGGGUUUAUCAGUACCGCAGUACUUCAAUGAAUACACUGUGAUUGCUGGUUACGGACCUGUUCACACACAUGGACGAUGGUUCAACGACAUGGUGAACGUGCCCUUCUCAUCAGAAGCUUUUGUUGCUGGCAUAUUGGCUUAUUUCCUGGACAAUACAAUGCACAAAAAGGAGAGUUCGACAAAGAAAGACAGAGGCAAGCCGUGGUGGAACAAGUUCCGGUCCUUCAAGAGUGACACAAGAAGUGAGGAAUUCUACUCUCUUCCGUUCAAUCUCAACAAGUAUUUCCCGUCAGUAUGAGAUCAUAUUGAGGAACAAAACAAAACGGUUCAUACACGAUAAAACCCCUUGUCAAUGAAUUCUUCAUUGGGGCCUCACUUCUGCUACACAUAUUUUCUUUUAUAUGUAUGCAAAAGAAAGGAAAGUAUAACUAGUCUGACCAUUUUGAAGUUACUUAGUAAAUUAUUUUUCUGUUGUAAAUUCAUGGAUAUGUGGAUUUGAGUAGCAAUAUAGCAACUUUGG